UACAGAGGUCUCAGGCGUUGUUCGGAUUCAUUGGGCGUAAAGGGUGCGUAGGUGGCGCUGUAAGUCGGGUGUGAAAUUUCGGAGCUUAACUCCGAAACUGCAUUCGAUACUGCGGUGCUUGAGGACUGGAGAGGAGACUGGAAUUCAUGGUGUAGCAGUGAAAUGCGUAGAGAUCAUGAGGAAGACCAGUGGCGAAGGCGGGUCUCUGGACAGUUCCUGACACUGAGACACGAAGGCCAGGGGAGCAAACGGG
rnacentral:rRNA from 1 species